GUAGGUGAACCUGCGGAAGGAUCAUUACAAAAUUAAGCUUGCGAGGCUGCGUGGAUGGCACCUGUGUCUGAAGCCGCCUCGCAUUAAGCCCACUCCCGAGAGGGAGAUGGACGCGCGCAGCUCUUGUUGUGUGCAAAAAUAGAAUUUAAAUCAUGACUUAUACAACCAAAAGUAAAUAACCAAAACUUUUAACAAUGGAUCUCUUGGCUCUU
rnacentral:misc_RNA from 1 species